rnacentral:rRNA from 1 species
GCGGAGGAAAAGAAACUAACAAGGAUUCCCCUAGUAGCGGCGAGCGAAGCGGGAAGAGCUCAAAUUUGUAAUCUGGCGCUUUCAGCGUCCGAGUUGUAAUCUCUAGAAAUGUUUUCCGCGUUGGACCGCACACAAGUCUGUUGGAAUACAGCGGCACAGUGGUGAGACCCCCGUUCAUGGUGCGGAUGCCCAAUGCUUUGUGAUACAUUUUCGAAGAGUCGAGUUGUUUGGGAAUGCAGCUCAAAUUGGGUGGUAAAUUCCAUCUAAAGCUAAAUAUUGGCGAGAGACCGAUAGCGAACAAGUACCGUGAGGGAAAGAUGAAAAGCACUUUGGAAAGAGAGUUAACAGUACGUGAAAUUGUUGGAAGGGAAACGCUUGAAGUCAGACUUGCUGUUCGGAGUUCAGCCGCAAGGUGUACUCUCCGAGUUGCAGGCCAGCAUCAGUUUUUCGGGGUGGAAAAUCACGGUUUGAAGGUAGCAGUUUCGGCUGUGUUAUAGCUUUCCGUUGGAUACAUCCUGGGGGACUGAGGAACGCAGUGUGCUUUUAGCGGAGGUUUCGACCUCUUCACACUUAGGAUGCUGGUGGAAUGGCUUUAAACGACCCGUCUUGGAACACGGACCAAGGAGUCUAACAUGCUUGCGAGU